rnacentral:rRNA from 1 species
AUCAUGCAGAUCGCGCGAAUGGAUUAAGAGCUUGCUCUUAUGAAGUUAGCGGCGGACGGGUGAGUAACACGUGGGUAACCUGCCCAUAAGACUGGGAUAACUCCGGGAAACCGGGGCUAAUACCGGAUAACAUUUUGAACCGCAUGGUUCGAAAUUGAAAGGCGGCUUCGGCUGUCACUUAUGGAUGGACCCGCGUCGCAUUAGCUAGUUGGUGAGGUAACGGCUCACCAAGGCAACGAUGCGUAGCCGACCUGAGAGGGUGAUCGGCCACACUGGGACUGAGACACGGCCCAGACUCCUACGGGAGGCAGCAGUAGGGAAUCUUCCGCAAUGGACGAAAGUCUGACGGAGCAACGCCGCGUGAGUGAUGAAGGCUUUCGGGUCGUAAAACUCUGUUGUUAGGGAAGAACAAGUGCUAGUUGAAUAAGCUGGCACCUUGACGGUACCUAACCAGAAAGCCACGGCUAACUACGUGCCAGCAGCCGCGGUAAUACGUAGGUGGCAAGCGUUAUCCGGAAUUAUUGGGCGUAAAGCGCGCGCAGGUGGUUUCUUAAGUCUGAUGUGAAAGCCCACGGCUCAACCGUGGAGGGUCAUUGGAAACUGGGAGACUUGAGUGCAGAAGAGGAAAGUGGAAUUCCAUGUGUAGCGGUGAAAUGCGUAGAGAUAUGGAGGAACACCAGUGGCGAAGGCGACUUUCUGGUCUGUAACUGACACUGAGGCGCGAAAGCGUGGGGAGCAAACAGGAUUAGA